rnacentral:rRNA from 1 species
CGUAGGGUGCGAGCGUUGUCCGGAAUUAUUGGGCGUAAAGGGCUCGUAGGCGGUUUGUCGCGUCGGGAGUGAAAACUCGGAGCUUAACUCCGAGCCUGCUUCCGAUACGGGCAGACUAGAGGUAUGCAGGGGAGAACGGAAUUCCUGGUGUAGCGGUGAAAUGCGCAGAUAUCAGGAGGAACACCGGUGGCGAAGGCGGUUCUCUGGGCAUUACCUGACGCUGAGGAGCGAAAGUGUGGGGAGCGAACAGGAUUAGAUACCCUGGUAGUCCACACCGUAAACGUUGGGCGCUAGGUGUGGGACACAUUCCACGUGUUCCGUGCCGCAGCUAACGCAUUAAGCGCCCCGCCUGGGGAGUACGGCCGCAAGGCUA